rnacentral:rRNA from 1 species
GACGAACGCUGGCGGCGUGCUUAACACAUGCAAGUCGAACGGUGAAGCGAGUGCUUGCACUCGUGGAUCAGUGGCGAACGGGUGAGUAACACGUGAGUAACCUGCCCAUCACUCUGGGAUAAGCACUGGAAACGGUGUCUAAUACUGGAUACGACCAACCCUUGCAUGGGGUGUUGGUGGAAAGAUUUAUCGGUGAUGGAUGGACUCGCGGCCUAUCAGCUUGCUGGCGGGGUAAUGGCCCACCAAGGCGACGACGGGUAGCCGGCCUGAGAGGGUGACCGGCCACACUGGGACUGAGACACGGCCCAGACUCCUACGGGAGGCAGCAGUGGGGAAUAUUGCACAAUGGGCGAAAGCCUGAUGCAGCGACGCCGCGUGAGGGAUGACGGCCUUCGGGUUGUAAACCUCUUUCAGCAGGGAAGAAGCGAAAGUGACGGUACCUGCAGAAGAAGCACCGGCUAACUACGUG